rnacentral:rRNA from 1 species
UACAGAGGUCCCAAGCGUUGUUCGGAUUUACUGGGCGUAAAGCGCACGUAGGCGGAUCGAUCAGUCAGGGGUGAAAUCCCAGAGCUCAACUCUGGAACUGCCUUUGAUACUGUCGAUCUGGAGUAUGGAAGAGGUGAGUGGAAUUCCGAGUGUAGAGGUGAAAUUCGUAGAUAUUCGGAGGAACACCAGUGGCGAAGGCGGCUCACUGGUCCAUUACUGACGCUGAGGUGCGAAAGCGUGGGGAGCAAACAGG